rnacentral:rRNA from 1 species
UGCCCUGCUUCCAGGAAAAGCCUCUAAGCAUCAGGUAACACGAAAUCGUACCCCAAACCGACACAGGUGGUCAGGUAGAGAAUACCAAGGCGCUUGAGAGAAUUCGGGUGAAGGAACUAGGCAAAAUGGUGCCGUAACUUCGGGAGAAGGCACGCUGACACGUAGGUGAAGUGAUUUACUCAUGGAGCUGAAGUCAGUCGAAGAUACCAGCUGGCUGCAACUGUUUAUUAAAAACACAGCACUGUGCAAACACGAAAGUGGACGUAUACGGUGUGACGCCUGCCCGGUGCCGGAAGGUUAAUUGAUGGGGUCAGCGCAAGCGAAGCUCCUGAUCGAAGCCCCGGUAAACGGCGGCCGUAACUAUAACGGUCCUAAGGUAGCGAAAUUCCUUGUCGGGUAAGUUCCGACCUGCACGAAUGGCGUAAUGAUGGCCAGGCUGUCUCCACCCGAGACUCAGUGAAAUUGAACUCGCUGUGAAGAUGCAGUGUACCCGCGGCAAGACGGAAAGACCCCGUGAACCUUUACUAUAGCUUGACACUGAACAUUGAGCCUUGAUGUGUAGGAUAGGUGGGAGGCUUUGAAGUGUGGACGCCAGUCUGCAUGGAGCCGACCUUGAAAUACCACCCUUUAAUGUUUGAUGUUCUAACGUGGACCCGUAAUCCGGGUUGCGGACAGUGUCUGGUGGGUAGUUUGACUGGGGCGGUCUCCUCCUAAAGAGUAACGGAGGAGCACGAAGGUUGGCUAAUCCUGGUCGGACAUCAGGAGGUUAGUGCAAUGGCAUAAGCCAGCUUGACUGCGAGCGUGACGGCGCGAGCAGGUGCGAAAGCAGGUCAUAGUGAUCCGGUGGUUCUGAAUGGAAGGGCCAUCGCUCAACGGAUAAAAGGUACUCCGGGGAUAACAGGCUGAUACCGCCCAAGAGUUCAUAUCGACGGCGGUGUUUGGCACCUCGAUGUCGGCUCAUCACAUCCUGGGGCUGAAGUAGGUCCCAAGGGUAUGGCUGUUCGCCAUUUAAAGUGGUACGCGAGCUGGGUUUAGAACGUCGUGAGACAGUUCGGUCCCUAUCUGCCGUGGGCGCUGGAGAACUGAGGGGGGCUGCUCCUAGUACGAGAGGACCGGAGUGGACGCAUCACUGGUGUUCGGGUUGUCAUGCCAAUGGCACUGCCCGGUAGCUAAAUGCGGAAGAGAUAAGUGCUGAAAGCAUCUAAGCACGAAACUUGCCCCGAGAUGAGUUCUCCCUGAGACUUAGAGUCUCCUGAAGGAACGUUGAAGACGACGACGUUGAUAGGCCGGGUGUGUAAGCGCAGCGAUGCGUUGAGCUAACCGGUACUAAUGAACCGUGAGGCUUAACCUU